rnacentral:misc_RNA from 1 species
GAAAUGCGAUAAGUAAUGUGAAUUGCAGAAUUCAGUGAAUCAUCGAAUCUUUGAACGCACCUUGCGCUCCUUGGUAUUCCUUGGAGCAUGCCUGUUUGAGUAUCAUGAAAUCUUCAAAGUAAAUCUUUUGUUAACUCGAUUGGUUUCUACUUUGGUAUUGGAGGUCUUUGCAGCUUCACUCCUGCUCCUCUUUGUUCAUUAGCUGGAUCUCAGUGUUAUGCUUGGUUCCACUCGGCGUGAUAAGUUAUCUAUCGCUGAGGACACUGUAAAAGGUGGCCAAGGUAAAUGCAGAUGAACCGCUUCUAAUAGUCCAUUGACUUGGACAAUACUUUUAUGAUCUGAUCUCAAAUCAGGUAGGACUACCCGCUGAACUUAAGC